rnacentral:tRNA from 3 species
GGAGGGAUGACCGAGCGGCCUAAGGUGACAGUCUUGAAAACUGUUGGGCAUCCGUGCCUCGUGGGUUCGAAUCCCACUCCCUCCG